rnacentral:rRNA from 1 species
UACGUAGGGGGCGAGCGUUGUCCGGAUUUAUUGGGCGUAAAAGGCUUGUAGGUGGCCACGCCAAGUCGGAUGUGAAAUCUCCCGGCUCAACUGGGAGGGGUCAUUCGAUACUGGCGGGCUCGAGGCCGGUAGGGGGAAGCGGAAUUCCUGGUGUAGCGGUGAAAUGCGCAGAUAUCAGGAGGAACACCGGCGGCGAAGGCGGCACUCUGGGCCGGUACUGACGCUGAGGAGCGAAAGCGUGGGUAGCAAACAGG